rnacentral:rRNA from 1 species
AUACGUAGGGGGCAAGCGUUAUCCGGAUUUACUGGGUGUAAAGGGAGCGUAGACGGUUCUGCAAGUCUGGAGUGAAAGCCCGGGGCUCAACCCCGGGACUGCUUUGGAAACUGUGGAACUAGAGUGCAGGAGAGGUAAGUGGAAUUCCUAGUGUAGCGGUGAAAUGCAUAGAUAUUAGGAGGAACACCAGUGGCGAAGGCGACUUACUGGACUGUAACUGACGCUGAAGCACGAAAGCGUGGGGAGC